rnacentral:rRNA from 1 species
GGGUUGUGAGGUUAAGCGACUAAGCGUACACGGUGGAUGCCCUGGCAGUCAGAGGCGAUGAAGGACGUGCUAAUCUGCGAUAAGCGUCGGUAAGGUGAUAUGAACCGUUAUAACCGGCGAUUUCCGAAUGGGGAAACCCAGUGUGAUUCGUCACACUAUCAUUAACUGAAUCCAUAGGUUAAUGAGGCGAACCGGGGGAACUGAAACAUCUAAGUACCCCGAGGAAAAGAAAUCAACCGAGAUUCCCCCAGUAGCGGCGAGCGAACGGGGAGCAGCCCAGAGCCUGAAUCAGUGUGUGUGUUAGUGGAAGCGUCUGGAAAGGCGCGCGAUACAGGGUGACAGCCCCGUACACAAAAAUGCACAUACUGUGAGCUCGAUGAGUAGGGCGGGACACGUGGUA